rnacentral:rRNA from 1 species
GACGAACGCUGGCGGCGUGCUUAACACAUGCAAGUCGAACGGUGAAGCUCCAGCUUGCUGGAGUGGAUCAGUGGCGAACGGGUGAGUAACACGUGAGCAACCUGCCCCUGACUCUGGAAUAAGCGCUGGAAACGGCGUCUAAUACUGGAUAUGAGAAGGGUCCGCAUGGACACUUUCUGGAAAGUUUUUCGGUUGGGGAUGGGCUCGCGGCCUAUCAGCUUGUUGGUGAGGUAAUGGCUCACCAAGGCGACGACGGGUAGCCGGCCUGAGAGGGCGACCGGCCACACUGGGACUGAGACACGGCCCAGACGCCUACGGGAGGCAACGGUGGGGAAUAUUGCACAAUGGGCGAAAGCCUGAUGCAGCGACGCCGGGUGAGGGAUGACGGCCUUCGGGUUGUAAACCUCUUUCAGCAGGGAAGAAGCGAAAGGGACGGUACCUGCAGAAGAAGCACCGGCUAACUACGU